CAUUAAAGAAAUCGGCUCCGGCCAUUUCCAACCCUUGCGUAUAACUACUGUUGCUUCGGCGCUGCGGCGCCGGCGCCAUUAAACUCGUUAACUGUUAUGUCUGACAAGAUUUAAUAUAUCAAAACUUUCAACAACGGAUCUCUUGGUUCCCGCAUCGAUGAAGAACGCCGCGAAACGCGAUAUGUGAUGUGAAUUGCAGAAUUUAGUGAAUCAUCGAAUCUUUGAACGCACAUUGCGCCUGCUUGCAGGCAUGCCCGUUCGAGCGUCGCUUCUACCUAGGACCUCACUCGUUUGUGAGAGCCUGUUUUGGACGUGCCCACGCGGCCGUCCGCAAGGCAGUGGCCGCAGUGCCGCCGAGUACGGUCGACAGGAGUCAGCCGCGGCGACGCUGCGAGCCUUGUAUCAAGCACUUUUGACCUCGAAUCGGGUAGGGAUACCC
rnacentral:rRNA from 1 species